rnacentral:rRNA from 1 species
AACGAACGCUGGCGGCAUGCCUAACACAUGCAAGUCGAACGAGACCUUCGGGUCUAGUGGCGCACGGGUGCGUAACGCGUGGGAACCUGCCCUUAGGUUCGGAAUAACUCCCCGAAAGGGGUGCUAAUACCGGAUAAUGUCUUCGGACCAAAGAUUUAUCGCCUUUGGAUGGGCCCGCGUUGGAUUAGCUAGUUGGUAGGGUAAAAGCCUACCAAGGCGACGAUCCAUAGCUGGUCUGAGAGGAUGAUCAGCCACACUGGGACUGAGACACGGCCCAGACUCCUACGGGAGGCAGCAGGGGAGAAUAUGGAACAAGGGGCGAAAGCCUGACCCCGCAGUGCCGGGUGGGUGAUGAGGCCAUUAGGGUUGAAAAGCUCUUUUACCCGGGAACAUAGUGACAGGCCGGGAAAAAAAAGCCCCGGCUAACCCCGUC